UUAACCGCCACACACAGAUCAUCAAUGCCAGUCAGGCAGGUUCCCCCGCUUCUUCUAUUACUCACUGUCCUCUGUCCUCGAACUCAGCACAGAAGACAAAAACAGAGGCGUUUGGGAUCACUGUGUGAAGCAAGAGAUGGAAAUGAAUGAUUAUGUGACUUCAGACAAAAAAGGAAGUGAAAGUUGCUGUUCUUCAUCAACCUUCCUUAUACUUCAUGAGUCAACUCCCCAAAUCCAAACAUUUGGAACCACAAAGGCUGACUAUCAGUUUCACCAGUGAGGUGAGUAGAAAAACUGCAAAGAUGGCAAAAAAAUAUAAAAUAAAAAAAUGGAACUGCUACUUAGAAAACCAUUUCAAGACUGGAAUUGUUGCUGGGCUUUGGGAUGUGCUCAGCUUCUCAAAUAAGGAAACAUACAUCUGCAAGCAGAGUGCUUAUCAGGGAUCCAGCUCUGCCAAUCACACCUGCCUUCAAGAAUGCCUGUACACCACUUGCAUCCAGGAACUUGUGUCAAGGUAAAAUCAUGGCAAUGGCCAUUAUGAUAUUCUUUAUGAUGCUCAUUAUACAUUGAUUCAUUAUCAGAGCACAUUUAGACUGAGAUUAUUUAGGCAAUAACACUUGCAAUCAAGCUAUGCUAUCCACGAGGCCUCAGAUAAUCACAGCCAUAAUGAUAUCGGCUUGGAUCACGUGGAACGAAAUACCAGAGAUUUUCCCUCCGAGUUCAGGUGUUCUUUUGGUCCGUGGUGAAGCUUCACUCCAGAUUGUGCAUUUCGAGAAUCCGCAUCAUGGUGGAGCGAGAGUAAACGCACGCAAACGCGUUUGAAACUCGCUUAUUGAAGCAGACAAAUUAUUCUUCCGUUCGCGAAGAAAGAAAUAGCCUACCGCGUUUUCAAUAUGAGGUAAGGUUAAAGUCUAAAUUAAACCUAUGAAGAAACAUGUAAGGAAAAAUACAGAUAAGAAACGCCACAAACAAAUGCAGUCCGUGUACGUUUUGAUAGUUUGUUUUCGGACGUUUUGAUAGUUUGUUUUUCCAUUUGAAAUGAAAUAAGCAGUCAUUUUCUUGUUUUUUCGUUUGUAAAAAAAAGGGGGGGGGGGUUGGCUUGAUUUUCGUUUUUUUUUUUGGUUCAUGGGUAGAACGUUUUGAUAUUUAAUUUCAAAUGGAAAAACGAACUAAGCAUUCCCUUUCGAACGUUCACUCACGUUAUGUAUGGGUAAAUUCCUUUUUUUCCUUUCUGCUGAAGCCUGAUUUGUUCACGUUUGUGUAGCUGCAUAAACCAAUGGCGCUUUAGCCCGCCAAAGGGGGCGGGGCUGACCGCUAUAUAAGUCUGCCCGCAGCGCCAUUUAUCAGAUCAAUCCUCCUUCAGAGAUGAGAUUAUCUCUUUGCUCACUCUUCUGCAAGAGGAAGCCUUGGAAGAAGCUCCAGCUUUGCUCACCACUGUGGAAGAAGCCAAGAAGUCGUGAUGAAGAAUCACUGCAGGCAUCCGGGCUAAAGAGCAAAUUUCUUAAGAGCAAAUUUUCAGUGUGUUGUUCCAAAUGUCCGGGGCCAAUUAUCUCCAAGGCCCCCCACCCCACCAUACAAUCCUCCCCCCCGCAGUAGCCUAAUAAAAAGUGAAAGUUACGAUCA
ensembl:lncRNA